GGAGGAGGCAAGAGGUGUGCAUUUCUGAGUAGUAUAUAACCUGGGAGGAGGCAAGGUGUGCAUUUCUGAGUAGUAUAUGACCUGGGAGGAGGCAAGAGGUGUGCAUUUCUGAGUAGUAUAUGACCUGGGAGGAGGCAAGAGGUGUGCAUUUCUGAGUAGUAUAUGACCUGGGAGGAGGCAAGAGGUGUGCAUUUCUGAGUAGUAUAUAACCUGGGAGGAGGCAAGGUGUGAAUUUCUGAGUAGUAUAUGACCUGGGAGGAGGCAAGGUGUGAAUUUCUGAGUAGUAUAUAACCUGGGAGGAGGCAAGGUGUGCAUUUCUGAGUAGUAUAUGACCUGGGAGGAGGCAAGAGGUGUGCAUUUCUGAGUAGUAUAUAACCUGGGAGGAGGCAAGGUGUGCAUUUCUGAGUAGUAUAUGACCUGGGAGGAGGCAAGAGGUGUGCAUUUCUGAGUAGUAUAUGACCUGGGAGGAGGCAAGAGGUGUGCAUUUCUGAGUAGUAUAUAACCUGGGAGGAGGCAAGGUGUGCAUUUCUGAGUAGUAUAUGACCUGGGAGGAGGCAAGGUGUGAAUUUCUGAGUAGUAUAUAACCUGGGAGGAGGCAAGGUGUGCAUUUCUGAGUAGUAUAUGACCUGGGAGGAGGCAAGAGGUGUGCAUUUCUGAGUAGUAUAUAACCUGGGAGGAGGCAAGGUGUGCAUUUCUGAGUAGUAUAUGACCUGGGAGGAGGCAAGAGGUGUGCAUUUCUGAGUAGUAUAUGACCUGGGAGGAGGCAAGAGGUGUGCAUUUCUGAGUAGUAUAUGACCUGGGAGGAGGCAAGAGGUGUGCAUUUCUGAGUAGUAUAUAACCUGGGAGGAGGCAAGGUGUGAAUUUCUGAGUAGUAUAUGACCUGGGAGGAGGCAAGGUGUG